rnacentral:rRNA from 1 species
CCUACGGGUGGCAGCAGUGAGGAAUAUUGGUCAAUGGCCGGAAGGCUGAACCAGCCAAGCCGCGUGAAGGACGAAGGUGCCAAGCAUUGUAAACUUCUUUAGUCAAGGGACAAAAUCAGGCUCGAGAGCCUGACCGAGUGGACUUGAAGAAAAAGCAUCGGCCAACUUGGGGCCAGAACCCGCGGCAAAACGGAGGAGGCGAGCGUUAUCCGGAUGUAUUGGGGUAAACGGGUGCGUAGGCGGAAGGUUUAGUCAGCGGUAAAAGCCCGGGGCUAACCCCCGGCUGGCCGUUGAAACUGGCUGUCUUGAGAUGUCGAGAGGUAUGCAGAAUGCGUAGUGUAGCGGUGAAAUGCUUAGAUAUUGCGCAGAACUCCGAUUGCGAAGGCAGCAUACCGGCGGCGAUCUGACGCUGAGGCACGAAAGCGUGGGUAUCGAACAGGAUUAGAUACCCCAGUAGUC